GGUUGGUAUGAGCACAGUGGUGUUUACAACUAAUUGAUCUAACCAGUUACAUAUUCCUUUGUUCCUUCUCCACUCCCACUGUGUCCAGCCUUAA
rnacentral:sRNA from 1 species